CAGUCGCCACGGUAAUACGUAGGUGGCAAGCGUUGUCCGGAAUUAUUGGGCGUAAAGGGCUCGCAGGCGGUUUCCUAAGUCUGAUGUGAAAGCCCCCGGCUCAACCGGGGAGGGUCAUUGGAAACUGGGAAACUUGAGUGCAGAAGAGGAGAGUGGAAUUCCACGUGUAGCGGUGAAAUGCGUAGAGAUGUGGAGGAACACCAGUGGCGAAGGCGACUCUCUGGUCUGUAACUGACGCUGAGGAGCGAAAGCGUGGGGAGCGAACAGGAUUAGAUACCCCAGUAGUCCCUGUCUCUUAUAA
rnacentral:rRNA from 1 species